UUUCCGUAGGUGAACCUGCGGAAGGAUCAUUAACGAGUUAGGGUCUUCUAGGCCCGACCUCCCAACCCUUUGUUUACUGAACCAUUGUUGCCUCGGUGGGUCCGUCUUACGACCGCCGGGGGAUCGCCGCGAGGCACCCCCUGGCCAGCGCCCACCGAUAGCCCAACCUUUAAAACCCUUUGUGAAUCGUGUCUUAUGUCUAAAUUUAUGAUUAAACAAUCAAAACAAAACUUUCAACAACGGAUCUCUUGGUUCUG
rnacentral:misc_RNA from 1 species